rnacentral:rRNA from 1 species
UACGGAGGUGGCAAGCGUUGUUCGGAUUUAUUGGGUUUAAAGGGCGCGUAGGCGGCCCUGUAAGUCAGUGGUGAAAUCUCUGAGCUUAACUGCGAGGGUGCCAUUGAUACUGGGGGGCUUGAGUAUAGGUGAGGUAGGUGGAAUUGACGGUGUAGCGGUGAAAUGCGUAGAUAUCGUGAAGAACACCGAUGGCGAAGGCGGCUUACUAAGCUAGAACUGACGCUGAGGCACGAAAGUGUGAGGAUCAAACAGG